AUAUAGCCUAUUAUCAAAUUUCUUUACAAAAAAAAGUAUCAUAUACAUAACGAAGUUUGAUGUUACUGAAGAUAUCAAGGGAGUUUUGCCUUGUUUUUAAUAUACGUGGGAAUAAAUCUCCAUUUUAGUGACGAAGUACACUGCAAUUCACACGCCUGGGGCCGAUUUCCGUCCAGCGAUGCACCAAUUUGAUAGUAGCAUAAACCCAAUCACCGGUUUCUAAAUUCUGCCCAAUUUCGCAUCCAAAUCCUCUUCUGCAGUCAUGGCGUCAUUCUAAAGAACCUCAACAACUACUCUUAGAGCUGCAAAAUACAUCAAUUUCUGAUAGAGUAGCAGCAAUCUAAGUCCCGUUUGAUGUAAUGGCCUGUCACUCUAAAGAACCUCAACAACUACUCUUAGAGCUGCAAAAUACAUCAAUUUCCGUUUGAUGUAAUGGCCGGUUCGUCUCUUCUCGAUUCUCUCUUCCAGCGAUCUUUAGAAGACUUAAUCAAAGGUCUCCGUCUCUACGUCGCCGACGAAUC
rnacentral:lncRNA from 1 species